rnacentral:rRNA from 1 species
AGUGAACGCUGGCGGUAGGCCUAACACAUGCAAGUCGAACGGCAGCACAGUAAGAGCUUGCUCUUACGGGUGGCGAGUGGCGGACGGGUGAGGAAUACAUCGGAAUCUACUUUUUCGUGGGGGAUAACGUAGGGAAACUUACGCUAAUACCGCAUACGACCUACGGGUGAAAGCAGGGGAUCUUCGGACCUUGCGUGAUUGAAUGAGCCGAUGUCGGAUUAGCUAGUUGGCGGGGUAAAGGCCCACCAAGGCGACGAUCCGUAGCUGGUCUGAGAGGAUGAUCAGCCACACUGGAACUGAGACACGGUCCAGACUCCUACGGGAGGCAGCAGUAGGGAAUAUUGGACAAUGGGCGCAAGCCUGAUCCAGCCAUACCGCGUGGGUGAAGAAGGCCUUCGGGUUGUAAAGCCCUUUUGUUGGGAAAGAAAAGCAGCAGGUUAAUACCCCGCUGUUCUGACGGUACCCAAAGAAUAAGCACCGGCUAACUUCGUG